rnacentral:misc_RNA from 1 species
AAUUAACAAUGAAGAAACAGAAGAUUCAAAAUAAACAUGCAGAUUGAAUUACUGCAUGCUUAACUCAAUCAACUACACGACUUCCUGUUGUAAUUGUUUCAUAAACAUCUGAAGGUUCCAACAAAAGCAUUGACACAUUUACUAUUUUACUUUAUGGCUUAUCUUGGAGGUGGAGGAGGAACAUGGGAUUUCGCCAUUCCCACCCAUGCAACAAUUCCAACUGCAAGGAUUAUCCAUCCAAAAAUGUCAUAUUUGAAAUCACUACUCUUCUUAUUCUUCUUGGAACCCUUUGCAUUUGAAGAAGCAGAAGACCCUCCACCCAUAGUCUGUUGACUAAUUCCAUGCUUAUGGAUCUCCAUGUGUAGCUCUGGUGCCUUUGCAGUGACUUCUAGAGAUUUUC